UGCCAGCCGCCGCGGUAAUACGGAGGGUGCAAGCGUUAUCCGGAUUUAUUGGGUUUAAAGGGUGCGCAGGCGGACUAGUAAGUCAGUGGUGAAAGCCCGAGGCUCAACCUCGGAACUGCCAUUGAUACUGCUUGUCUUGAGUAUAGUUGAGGUGGGCGGAAUGUGUCAUGUAGAGGUGAAAUUCAUAGAUAUGACACAGAACACCAAUUGCGAAGGCAGCUCGCUAAACUAUUACUGACGCUCAGGCACGAAAGCGUGGGGAGCGAACAGGAUUAGAUA
rnacentral:rRNA from 1 species